GACGAACCGUCCAAACGUUAUUCGGAAUUACUGGGCUUAAAGGGUGCGUAGGCGGCGUAGCAAGUUGGGUGUGAAAUCCCUCGGCUCAACCGAGGAAUUGCGCCCAAAACUGUUGUGCUUGAGGGAGACAGAGGUGAGCGGAACUGAUGGUGGAGCGGUGAAAUGCGUUGAUAUCAUCAGGAACACCGGUGGCGAAAGCGGCUCACUGGGUCUCUUCUGACGCUGAGGCACGAAAGCUAGGGGAGCGAACGGG
rnacentral:misc_RNA from 1 species